GAGGUAAAAGUUUUUUCUGCUGCACUCAUAAUCAUCCCAGUCUCAAACGUCUCCGUUCCUUCGCUUUCAGAUUCAUCUUCUCUCUUUUCUAUUAUUGGUUCACUUUAUCAUGCAUAUUGCAGAAGACAACAGUGGUUAAUUUUGAAGAGGGAUCAUCUUCAUCUUCCAUGAACCUUACUAUGGCAUAAUUUGAAAGAUUCUUCCGAGCUUCCUGGCACGUUUGGUUCCCUACUGCCCAGUCGAACAUCACAGGAAACUCCUCCUUCUCCAACUUGAGGAGGUCUGUGGAUUUGAACUUGUAGGCUCCAUUUUCAACCAAAAAAGCAUAACCACAUGGAUUGAAGUCAUGCACUGCCGAGUGAUUGUUGAAUACGCCUAAAGAAAGAUAUAUUACUUUCAUUAACACAUGACCUUGGGGUAUUGGAAUCUCGCAACAACCAGUGCCAGAGCAAGAUUCAUGGGCCACAAUAUCAUUAAGCCUGUUGCACAGAGCCACACAUGCUGCGGUGUAGUUGUUUCCCCCAGAAUCAUAUGCUACGAGUCCUCCAGACGUGUCACAGCCAACUGCGAUGAAUUUGUUUCGAGUUGACGAGAUGUGGAAAUGUGCUGUGUUGACAGUCCCAUAUGUUUGGUUCACAAGUUUGCUGUUUUCAGCGUAGCAAUCUCUGGCUACUGGCCAUGCAACAUGCAGUUCGCCGUCGAGUGAGAUGUUUAAGACAAUUCUCUUACUAUGUGGCAAGUAGGGUACAUGUGUUGAGGUUGAAGAUGUAGAUGUUUUGUUGCAAUUGAUGAGAAAGGUGUUGUCCAAGGAACAACCCUUGGUGGUUCCAAAUGGGAAUGGAAUGGUGACAGAGCCACACUUUGUUGGGCAGUUAGGCAGAGAUAGUGACUGAGAUGCUACUUUUGAUAAAAAGACCGUAACAACCACCAGAAACAGCAGGUGUUUUGAGUGCAAAUCCAUGAGCAUGGAUUUGCUAGUUUUUCAGGUUCAUGCAGAGGACAACAGUGGAUGUUUAUGAAUGUAGGAGAUCAUUUUCAUCUCACAGGAAGCUUGCUUUGGUUAGUUGGUUCUCUUUUAUCUGUGCCUUCAAUUCGAUCUAUGUUUUGUUAUUCAAGUUUUGUUUGAAAUUGAAGUGCUGAUAUGUAAGUGAGAUUUGUGAAUUCAAUGCAGUAAUGCCAUAUAUAGCAUCUCUGUGUGUUUACUUCUAAGUGCAUAAUUUAUGUUAAUCAAUGGUUAUGUCUAGGAAAUUAAACAUGUACUGAUAUGUGUGUCUUACUUUUAUUUUGCUCUUUUCUUAUUUACGUUUCUAUUAUAUUAUGCCAAAGAUUCAUUCUAACUUGUGGCAGGAUAAAUUUGAACACAUUGGUUAACUCAAUUUAUCGUGUACAAUUCUGUGUUUUAAUGGAAGUAUUGGUAUUGUAAAAAGUUUUGCAUUGUUUCUGGGGUUCAUAUUCAUGUGUGCAUCACAUAUAAAUCCUAACAAAAGUGAAUUAAGUAGUAAAAUAAGUGUAUUUUAUAGUAGUCAUAACAUAAAUUCUUAUGAAAAUUUAAUACAUGUAACUCAGAUGUCUUGUGCUUGGAUUAGGUUCACAGCUCUAGAAAUCUGAAUUGUAAGAACUUUCAAUCCUAAGAAAAACUAAACUCAUAUGUCAGAUCAUUGGAUUUAUAAAUAUUAUUAGAUUAAGAUAAGAAAUCAGCCGCAAAGUCUUUUUCGCAAUAUUAAGUUGGAGGAAGACUGUAAGAGAAACAAUAAGAAAAUUUUGAACCGAUAGUGAUAGAGAUAUGAAUGUCAUGUCCAAUACAGUAGAGGAAAUACAACAUACACUGUAUUUACACCGUUACAAUGAAGAUAGAUUAAAAUCAAAUCCUGAGUAUUAAUAUCAAUUCUAAUCAUCUUCCACCAAUCGUUGACAUCGACAUCUGGUUCGUGCUAUAUGAGUCAGAACAAUUACUGCCACUUCCAUAGACUCCGUCUUCACCGUUGAUGGACGGCACUGUUCUUAGCAAGUUAUCAGUCUCUUCUGAAGAUAAAUUGCCACUUCCCCAACUGUGCUCUUCAAUCACUAAUAUUCCCUCUAGUUCCAUUGCCACUUCUUUCAUGGUAGGUCUUUCGUCACUAUUCACCCUUAAACACCUUUCUGCAAUAUGGGCUACUUCCUUUAGUUGCUCAAUAUUCGCCUCAUCUAUAUUUGUGUCCAAAAUAUGAUGUAACCAACCCUCUUUCAUUGAAGAAACAAAGUACACUGCAAGGUUUCUAUCUUCCUCUGGCCUGUUAAAAGACAGUGCCUGCUUUCCCGUAAGUAGCUCUGCGAGGACAACCCCAAAGCUAUAGACGUCACUCUUCUCUGUUAAGUGGCUUGUGUGGAAAUAUUCUGGGUCAAGAUACCCCAAUGUUCCCUGCACUAGAGUGGUUAUCUGACUGUGAUCAAGAGGAACAAUCCUAGAAGCUCCAAAGUCAGAAACCUUUGCGGUGAGAUUGCGAUCUAGAAGUAUAUUUGUAGAUUUCACAUCUCUAUGUAUGAUUGGUGUAGAAGCAGUAGAAUGCAAGUAUGCUAGGACUCCAGCAGUUUCUUUUGCUAUUCUUAGUCUUGUUUUCCAUGUAAGCUUUAAAGUUUGGUUUUGACCAUGAAGAUGAUCAUGAACUGUUCCAUUGGGAAUGAAUUCAUAAACAAGCAAGGGAACUUCUGUUUCUAAACAACAACCCAAGAGCUUUACCACAUUUCUAUGGUUGAUUUGGGAAAGCACUAUCACUUCAUUGAUGAACGGCUCAAUUUGGUUUGGGUCACUGAUUUUGGACUUCUUUAUUGCUACAAUUCUUUUAUCUUGUAAAACUCCUUUGUAAACUGUUCCCUGACCACCUUGGCCUAGGAUCUUUCUUUCGUCGAAGUAGUUGGUUGCUUUGUUUAGCUCCUCAACAGUGAAGACUCUAGCUGUUUCAGUUGACCCUCCAUGCCUCACUAGUUGUUGUUGCAAGUGUAAGCCACCAUUUUGUUGAAAAAAUUGUUCUUUAAGUUUAAUGAGCUUCCUUUUCUUCAUUACCAAAUAAGCAUAAAAGCUUCCAACCAGUAGUGCAACGAGGCUUAUGCUGAGACCUGGUCAUAAAUGGAAACAUGAUAAUUUUCUUUCUGCUCUGCUUAGUUUGUUGAUGUUUCAAGUUAUCAAUGAAAUUAGUCAAAAUGCCACCGUUCUAGUCUCGUAGGAAUACCUUGGGCAUAUCAGUGUAAAUUCAGAACAAUUUAUAACAUGUUUUAAUAUUGUUGGUUGCCAAUGAAACUGGUGUUUUGUACUUACUCAAUGCAAUGAUCAAUAUGAUCUCUUUCCUUGAUUUGGUGUUCGAUUUUGGACUGCAUCUUGUUCCAUUCAUCUUCCCGUUUCCCUCAUAUUCCGCUGGACAUAAACAAUGGUAGCUUCCAGGAAGAUUGAUGCACGUUGCCCCCUCAACACAGUCAUUGUACUCAAUGCAUUCAUUAAUAUCUAAAGGAUAAUUUGUUAGUUUUGGUUUCUGUUUUCGUAAUGGAUGAUUGAGUUUGAUAAGAACGAUAGUUACUGUUAUGGAUUGUCAAUAACCUGCAUUCAAAUGAAAACAACAAAACCGACACACAAAAUACAACAAUCCAAACAAAACUAUAAAUAUAAACUAGCAAACACGAGUCGGCUAAAAAAGGGAAAACGAAGAAGAAUAACGCCAAGAAAUAUGUGGUUGGGUCAUAAGACUUAAUUCACGAGAAAGAAAGCAAUAAUGAAUCCACUAUGAGGAGAAGAACAAGAUUAAAGCCAAUAUACCAUAGAAUUUAUGUGGUCCUUUGCUUCACUGAUGUUGAGAAACAACAAGAAUCCUCAAUCCCUUUCACACUCUAUCAACUGUAAGUAAUUUUUACCCAGUCAUAUCUAAGUGCAGAGAUGAACUUAUGAUCACAAGACUCAUCCAUGUCUUUAGCUAACAAAUUUACAUAAUUGUUUCUAUUUGUCAUUUCUCAUCAAAGUCAUUGACGACACCCUAUAUAUAUCCACGUUGAGAAGAUUCAUACAAAUAUCUCAAAAAUAUAAUCUAAUUAACAGAUAAGAAAUAUACACACACAUUACCUUGGCAACCAUGAAUGAGGUAAGGAUUUCCCUGAUAUCCAUGAAAGCAUCUGCAAAGGUAACCAGGUCUCUCGGUUGCAUCGUAACAUGUACUUGUGUUGUCCUUACAGGCAUAAUUUGAAAGAUCCUUCUGAGCUUGCUGGCAUGUUAGGUUCCCUACUGCCCAGUUCAACAACACUGGAAACUCCUCCUUCUCCAACUUGAGAAGGUCUGUGGAUUCGAAGCUGUAGGCUCCAUUUUCAACCAAAAAAGCAUAACCACAUGGAUUGAAGUCAUGUACAGCUGAGUGAUUGUUGAAUAAACCACCAGAAGAAUAGGAUAAUUUUGUGAACACAUGACCUUUGGGUAUUGAAAUCUCACAACAACCAGUGCCGGUGCAAGAUUCAUUGGCCAUUAUAUCACUAAGCCUGCUACACAAAGCCACACAUCCUGUGCUGUAGUUGUUUCCCCCAGAAUCAAAUGUUGCGAGGAAUGCAACCGUGUCACAACCAACUGCAAUUAACUUGUUUCGAGUCGAUGAGAUGGGAAAAUGCGUCAUGUUGAUACCCCAAUAUGUUUGGUUCACAGGUUCGCUCUUUUCAGCAUAGCAAUCACUGGCUACUGGCCAUGCAACGUGCAGUUCACCGUCCAGUGAGAUGUUUAAUACACUUUGAUUAUUCUGUGGCAAGGAAGGUACAUGUGUGGAGGUUGAAGUUGAAGAUGUUUUGUUGCAAUUGAUGAGAAAAGUGUUGUCCAAGGAACAAUCCUUGGUGGUUCCAAAUGGGAAGGGAAUCGUGACAGAGCCACACUUUGUUGGACAGUUUGGCAGAGAUAGUAGCUGCUGAGUUGCUGCUUUUACCAAAAAGACUGUAAUAACCACCAUCAGCAGCUGUUUUGAGUACACAACCAUGGGCAUGACUUCCCUAAUUUUUCAGGCAUAAUUUGAAAGAUCCUUUUGAGCUUGCUGGCACGUUUGGUUCCCUACUGCCCAAUCCAACAACACCGGAAACUCCUCCUUCUCCAACUUGAGGAGGUCUGUGGAUGUGAAACUGUAGGCUCCAUUUUCAACCAAAAAAGCAUAACCACAUGGAUUGAAAUCAUGUACUGCUGAGUGAUUGUUGAAUACACCUAGAGUACCAUAGGUUACAUUUGUCAACACAUGAUCUUGGGGUAUUGAAACCUUGCAACAACCAGUGCCGGAGCAAGAUUCAUUGGCCACAAUAUCAUUUAGCCUAUUGCACAAAGCCAUACAUCCUGUGCUGUAGUUUUUCCCUUCAGAAUCAUAUGUUGCUAGUAAUGCAAGCGUGUCACAUCCAACUGCGACAAACUUGUUUCGAGUUGACGAGACAGAAAAAUGUGUCAUGUUGAUAUCCCAAUAUGUCUCGUUCACCUGUUCGCUCUUUUCAGCAUAACAAUCACUUGCUACUGGCCAUGCAACGCGCAGUUCACCAUCGAGUGAGAUGUUUAGGACACUUUGAUUACUCUGCGGCAAGAAAGGUACAUGCGUUGAAGAUGUUUUGUUGCAAUUGAUGAGAAAGGUGCUGUCCAAGGAACAGUCCUUGGUGGUUCCAAAUGGGAAGGGAAUGGUGACAGAGCCACACUUUGUUGGGCAGUUUGGCAGAGAUAAUAGCUGCUGAGUUCCUGCUCUUGCAAAAAAGACUGUAAUAACAACCGUCAGCAGCAGCUGCUUUGCGUGCACAACCAUGAGCACGACUUUGCUAAUUUUUUAGGUUCAUUGUUAUUGUUAUACUUAUAUAAAUUCUUGGUUUUUUUAGUAUUUAUUUAUUUAUUUAUUCUCCUUGUAAUGCUAUUUAAAAAGAGAAAGUCAAACUGAUUGAUUCUUGUUGUAUGCAAUGGAUUGACAAAAUCAAACAUGGUUUUGUCUCAUAUUUGUUAUAAUGUAAUUCUAGUUUGGUAAA